rnacentral:rRNA from 1 species
GCGUGCUUAACACAUGCAAGUCGAACGGAAAGGCCCUGCUUUUGUGGGGUGCUCGAGUGGCGAACGGGUGAGUAACACGUGAGUAACCUGCCCUUGACUUUGGGAUAACUUCAGGAAACUGGGGCUAAUACCGGAUAGGAGCUCCUGCUGCAUGGUGGGGGUUGGAAAGUUUCGGCGGUUGGGGAUGGACUCGCGGCUUAUCAGCUUGUUGGUGGGGUAGUGGCUUACCAAGGCUUUGACGGGUAGCCGGCCUGAGAGGGUGACCGGCCACAUUGGGACUGAGAUACGGCCCAGACUCCUACGGGAGGCAGCAGUGGGGAAUAUUGCACAAUGGGCGGAAGCCUGAUGCAGCAACGCCGCGUGCGGGAUGACGGCCUUCGGGUUGUAAACCGCUUUCGCCUGUGACGAAGCGUGAGUGACGGUAAUGGGUAAAGAAGCACCGGCUAACUACGUGCCAGCAGCCGCGGUGAUACGUAGGGUGCGAGCGUUGUCCGGAUUUAUUGGGCGUAAAGGGCUCGUAGGUGGUUGAUCGCGUCGGAAGUGUAAUCUUGGGGCUUAACCCUGAGCGUGCUUUCGAUACGGGUUGACUUGAGGAAGGUAGGGGAGAAUGGAAUUCCUGGUGGAGCGGUGGAAUGCGCAGAUAUCAGGAGGAACACCAGUGGCGAAGGCGGUUCUCUGGGCCUUUCCUGACGCUGAGGAGCGAAAGCGUGGGGAGCGAACAGGCUUAGAUACCCUGGUAGUCCACGCUGUAAACGGUGGGUACUAGGUGUGGGGUCCAUUCCACGGGUUCCGUGCCGUAGCUAACGCUUUAAGUACCCCGCCUGGGGAGUACGGCCGCAAGGCUAAAACUCAAAGGAAUUGACGGGGCCCCGCACAAGCGGCGGAGCAUGCGGAUUAAUUCGAUGCAACGCGUAGAACCUUACCUGGGUUUGACAUGGAUCGGGAGUGCUCAGAGAUGGGUGUGCCUCUUUUGGGGUCGGUUCACAGGUGGUGCAUGGCUGUCGUCAGCUCGUGUCGUGAGAUGUUGGGUUAAGUCCCGCAACGAGCGCAACCCUUGUUCACUGUUGCCAGCACGUUAUGGUGGGGACUCAGUGGAGACCGCCGGGGUCAACUCGGAGGAAGGUGGGGAUGACGUCAAGUCAUCAUGCCCCUUAUGUCCAGGGCUUCACGCAUGCUACAAUGGCUGGUACAGAGAGUGGCGAGCCUGUGAGGGUGAGCGAAUCUCGGAAAGCCGGUCUCAGUUCGGAUUGGGGUCUGCAACUCGACCUCAUGAAGUCGGAGUCGCUAGUAAUCGCAGAUCAGCAACGCUGCGGUGAAUACGUUCCCGGGGCUUGUACACACCGCCCGUCAAGUCAUGAAAGUUGGUAACACCCGAAGCCGGUGGCCUAACCGUUGUGGGGGAGCCGUCGAAGGUGGGACUGGUGAUUAGGACUAAAUC